UAACAAAAAUUAACCCUCCUGUUUUCCUGAUAUUUAAGUAAUCACUACAUUAAUCACCAGUGGGUGAUUUUUUUAUCUCUUGAAAUUAUUGUAUAAGGCUCAAAUUUCUGAUAAUUGACGUGCAUUUCAGCUCAUCAUAAGAAUCUUGCAGAGACGUUUUGUAAGGGUUUGAACAUUGUUAGUUACCAAUUCAAUCAUCGGAGUCGCGGAGUUGCAGGCAAUUUGGUCUGAAAACAGAAUCUGAACGGUGUUAUAUGAGCAAUAUGAAAUUCAAGGAAGGGCAUAGGGUUGAGGUUUGUCGCUCAGAUGGUGGUACUUUGCGAUCCUGGUACAGAGCCAGGAUCAUUUCACACAAUAGAGACUGCUACAGAGUUCAGUAUGACAACCUUUUAAAUGACCAUGGGAAACAUGUUGUGGAAGACGUGUAUGCUGACAUAGUUAGACCAGAACCUCCUACUAUGACAGAAACAAGAAAAUUGGGUCCUGGGGAUCUGAUAGAAGUGUAUGAUAACCAUUCAUGGAGGGAGGGUAGAGUUAUCAAAGCUUUACCCAGCAGAUUAUUUGUUGUCAAACUGAUGGAGCCACUACGACAGAGAUCUUUUCACCAGUCUGUUAUCCGGCCCCGGCUGUUUUGGGAGAAUGACAGUUGGCUUCAUCAUGUUGAGGUCGGUAGAGACCAUUUAGCAAGAAUGAAAUUCCAAGUCCAAAAGGAAUUGCAUAUUGGAUGCCAGUUUCAAGAACAAAAUGUGAAACGGAAUACUGCAUGCCAGGAAUAUGAACAAGUUGUGGCUGAAUACCAUCUACACAAACUUAUAUCAAAGAAUGCAAAGAGAAAACCAGGCAGUUGUAUGCAAUCUGCAUAUGAAGGAGAUUUGAAGACUGAAGCUGCUCCUCAGAAAAGGAGAUUAAUUCAAAAGUUUAGGGAUCAAGAAGCAGUAGCACACUCUUCCUUUCCUAUGCUGGAGAAGAUCCAUGGGACAAUAGGAAAAAAGGGUGGCAACAAGAUCGGUUAGCAGCAAUGAUAGGGCAUGGUUGCAUGUUGGCAAUGGUGUGCAGCUAGCUGGUUCCCAAGCUUGCUGCUUUCGGUCAAAUGACGUAUUUAAAUGCUUGUUAGAUGGCAACGAUAUUCUUUGAUUAAUGGUCAUUGAAUGGGAUGGAUGAUCUUUGGGCAGCAGUAAAGCUAAUGUGCUCACUGUUUUUUCUGUCAGUUAACAUCAACCCGCUUUAGUGCAAGUUAUCGUCUUCACAAAAUUGGCAGCUUUUUGAAAGCAGGAUAAACAAAAUAAUCUGCCCGGGAAAUAUCAUUUAUUUGAAAAUGUCUGGAGAGCUUUGAUUUCAUAUAUUGUAGCUUUGAUUUCAUAUAUUGGAGCUGAAUCUGAGUUGUAUUAUUGAAAAGAGGACAAAGCUGCACUUGUAAACAGUGCAUGGAUGGAGAAAGAAGUAGCAACUGUACAUGUAAAGUGUGAAGGCAAAGCUUCUGGCUAUAGGAACGAACGCAUUGCAACAAAAGUAGCUAAGAGUUCUUUGGGGAGAAGAGCUCCUGUACAUAACCCCCUCCUGAACAUAUCAAGGAACCAUUUUGCUAGUUGACAGCGUGCGUUGUUUGCAUUAAUUUGUAAUACGAAUGUUUCCCUGAUUUUGUUAGUUCUAAAAGUUAAUCAAUAAAAAGGUAGCAAGGAGCUCCGGAAAGCAAGCAAACUACAAGAUGCGCCUAGAAAGAAUUGUUCUCCAUCAUGGAAUAAAUUAAUAUGCAUUUACAAAUGUUGUGAUAGGUCUGCUAUCGAGUUGGGUAUCUCCUCAGAUUACUCUGGAUAUUCCUUGGAAUUGUAUCUUUCAGCAACUUUUCACUUCCCUGGACUUUUAACUACAGGGUCCCAUAGACUAUUUGAUCUGGUGGACGUUAUGACCAUUUUGGUCUGGUGAUAGAGUUAUGAAAAAUCUCUAUUUGUCUA